rnacentral:rRNA from 1 species
UACGGAGGGUGCAAGCGUUAAUCGGAAUCACUGGGCGUAAAGCGCUCGUAGGCGGUUUGGUCAGUCAGACGUGAAAGCCCGCAGCUUAACUGCGGAACUGCGUUUGAUACUGCCAGACUUGAGUGUCGGAGAGGGUGGCGGAAUUCCGGGUGUAGGAGUGAAAUCCGUAGAUAUCCGGAGGAACACCAGUGGCGAAGGCGGCCACCUGGACGACAACUGACGCUGAGGAGCGAAAGCGUGGGGUAGCAAACAGGAUUAGAACCGUACC